rnacentral:rRNA from 1 species
CAGCCGCCGCGGUAAUACGUAGGGUGCGAGCGUUAAUCGGAUUUACUGGGCGUAAAGCGUGCGCAGGCGGCCCGUUAAGACAGGUGUGAAAUCCCUGGGCUCAACCUAGGAAUUGCGCUUGUGACUGGCGGGCUCGAGUACGGUAGAGGGGGGUGGAAUUCCUGGUGUAGCAGUGAAAUGCGUAGAGAUCAGGAGGAACACCGAUGGCGAAGGCAGCCCCCUGGGCCUGUACUGACGCUCACGCACGACAGCGUGGGGAGCAAACAGGAUUAGAUAUCCUGGUAGUCCACGACCGAAACGAGGGGUACUAGCCGUUUGGUGCGCGAUAGCGCUGAGUGCCGAAGCUAACGCGUGAAGUACCCCGCCUGGGGAGUACGGCCGCAAGGUUGAAACUUAAAGGAAUUGGCGGG